UCUUUAAGCUAUUUUUUAAAGUAAAACCUGCUCAAUGUAAAAUAAAUAGCCGCAGUUAACUGUGCUAAGGUAGCAUAAUCAUUAGCUUUUUAAUUAAAAGAUAGAAUGAAUGGUAUUAUGAGAUGUAAACUGUUUCUAUUUAAAAUUAUAAAUUUAAAAAAAAAGUCAAAAUUCUUUUAUUAAUAAGAAAGACGAUAAGACCCUGACAAACUUAAUAUUUUGCUGGGGCGGCAAAUAAAACAAACCUUAAUUAAUAAUUUUUCAGAUAUCUAGUAAAUAUGCUAAAUAAAGUUACUACAGGGAUAACAGCGUAAUUUUUUUUCAAAGUUCAUAUUAAAAAAAAAGUUUACGACCUCGAUGUUGAAUUAAUAUUCUUUUCUAAGAGCAACAUCUAUAAAAGAUAGUCUGUUCGACUAUUAAAUAAUU
rnacentral:rRNA from 1 species